UACGAAGGGGGCUAGCGUUGUUCGGAAUCACUGGGCGUAAAGCGCACGUAGGCGGAUCUUUAAGUCAGGGGUGAAAUCCCAGAGCUCAACUCUGGAACUGCCUUUGAUACUGGGUAUCUUGAGUAUGGAAGAGGUAAGUGGAAUUGCGAGUGUAGAGGUGAAAUUCGUAGAUAUUCGCAAGAACACCAGUGGCGAAGGCGGCUCACUGGCCCGAUACUGACGCUGAUGCACGAAAGCGUGGGGAGCAAACAGG
rnacentral:rRNA from 1 species